GUCUUAAAACCUUACCCCCCCCUCCCCUCCCCCUUAAGAAGGUCAAUUUUUCGUGGUAACGUCGAUAUAAAUGCAUGAACGUGCUCCCUAAGGGAGAAUAUAAAUAUUGUUAUUCUUUCUUCGAUCGGCAUAAUAACAUUGAGCGAGCGACGAUUAUAACUGACAUACACUAUCCGUUGCACUUAUACUGAUUUUAAUACAUAAGACUAUUACGAAUUCAUCGACUCGUUUCUUUAUCGAACAAAUCUACACGUUUAAUCCACCUCGUCUCUUUGGUUGAUCGAUCACGCUUUGCCAUAAGAAACGUUUGCUCUGCACGUCUUCCAGCACCAAAACAAAUUCUCAUUUCACAAGUUCCCAUAGGAAACGUAUCAGCCUAAACUUCCGCUUUUGAAUAGCGAUCUUAUAUCGUAGAGCGGAUGCAAGCGCGGAACUAUGCGAGUCGAUCUCGGAAAAAUGUCGGGUAGAAUCAUUCGUUUGCAGGAGAGAGAAUUCACGUCUGGAAAGCGCGGGCGAUAACUAUCGAGCGAGUUUGUACACGUGUUAAAAUCGCGGAGCGCGCCUUACCGGACCCCCGAUUACGUAGAUUUAUUGCCUGUUGCGGCGCAAUCAGUAGAAUGGGUUGUUAGGCAAAGCGCAAGAAUCGGUGCCGCGUAUAGAUGACGCAGAUUGCGUAUUGUUAGCGGCUAAUUAGGAUGCGAGCGGGCAAGGAGAACGGUAAAACGUGCGCGAACCACAGCCUGAAACGGUUAGUCGUCGAUCCGGGCGACCUGACUCGCGUGAAAAUUAUGGAGGAAACCGUGGAAGUGCCCUUUAAUUAAAAACGUCUUAGAAUUCAUCAACUUUCUUAAAUCGAUCUUAAUCGAAUUGGUUGCAACCCUUGCGAACGUAAAUGCGAUCUGAAAUUCACUUUUAGAAGAUUUGAAAGUACGCGUGAUUGAACAGAGGAUCAUCGAACAAAGACGGUAUCGCGUUUCGGGGAUUGGCAAUUCGAAUGACGAGUUACUAGAUUAACGGGCUAAAGUGUAAAUGUUUUCCUGGUUCUUGAUGUUCAAUUUAUUAUAAUAAGAUUGCAAUGAAGUUUGCUUUGCAGUCUUUUGUAGUCUUGCUAUGGUAGAAAUGUUUUCUAAUGAGGCAAUAUCAAAGUUUGUUUUUGGGUACUUUGAAACCUCGCGUAUGUAACUUUUUCCUUGGAGCAUUUUAUAUUAUCUCGGGUCUAAUAUGAUAGAUGUGGACGAAGAUCUAACACGGGCUGGAUUUUGAAACGCGAGGCAUUAAUCAGAGCCGGGCAAAAACGCGCCGGGAGAACGUCCAGGCGUCGGACAGCGAAAAGUCUCGAUAAAUAAAAUUCCAGCGUGAAACGACACGCGAGCACGCCAACGGCGUAUCAGCGAUAAAAAGACACGCGCGGUUCGAAUCUCACGCCGGUAAAUGGAGGCCUGUGGCGAGAUUAGAAUCCAGCUUCCGCGUACGAACUCUAUCCGCUUGUACGGGCAAACGACCACCGAGGUAUUUUUAUUCGACUGUCAUUCGUCAAUCAUUCAUUGGAAAGGAUUGCACGGGUUUUACGAGUUUCUUUCCAUCAUAAAUCCUAAAAUCAUAGUGAAGAAUCGUUGCGCAACCGAUGGCGAGACGAUCGUCGAAACGUUUAAUCUCGACGUUCACCACGAUGGAAACCAACCUUCGAUAUUCCCAUAAAAAGAAGAGGCGACUGUCGACGAACGAGAGGAAUCGAAAUAGAGAAACGAGUCAUGGAUUCCCAUUUACGAGCAGACUCGUCCAUAUACGACAUUCCUACAGUUCGUUAAUCAUCGCGGGAAAUAAUUAACAAUCAAUUAGGAUGGUCUCGAAGCUGAUCCAAACGAAACCCAGAGAUCGAACACGCCUCUUUACAGGGUUUGGCUCGUUGAGGGAAAUCGAUGAAAAAUAGGUGAAUAGAAUAGGAGAAUUCUUAGAGUAUCGAAACAGAACUCUACCAACAUUUUUUUAUUUCGAUUAUCGUUAUCGUUUUAUUUCUUCCAAACAAAAUUACAAAAUUCAAAUAGGAAUCCUAUCUGCGAUUUCUCUACUUUUCAUUUUUUAUCUCAAGUUAUAUGACACAGUCUAAUGACUAGAUACUUUCAAUUGAACGAACAAAGACAAAGACAAUAUAUAGGAAAUGAUGGAGCUUUAGUUUUCUUCAACUUCCACGCGGUAAAUAGGAUAUUUUAACAAAGAGAGGUAGAAAACCUCAAGAUCGAAUUCAUAUUUCUUUUUUUUCUUUUUUUUUUUUUCUGAUAACGAAAGUCACAAAACUUACGAAACGACCUAAUAAAUAGGAAAAGAAAGAAAACGAUCGUAGUAUUUACGAACAGUCCAAGCCUCUAAUGGUUUCGAUGCGGUCGGACGCGCGCGUACCUGUCCGCUCGGUGCGUGUGCACGCGUGUACGAGCUAUCCUUCAUGCGAUUCUUGCGUGUUCCCCGCGUCGAUGCAUACACGCACACCAACGUACCAGUCGCUAUCAUUGCGAACGUAGGAGGGUGGCGAGGUCCAGGCCACGCACGGCCUGCACACGGGCGUGAAUUAUGCCUCGCGCGAGAUGUCAAAUUGCUCGCCAUAUCGUAAAAUAUACAACUCCUCGCGCUGUGGGAAACAUUAUGUUCUCUCCCACUCCCGACCACCGAUCCCCAUCGGUCCGAUCCUUUCCCCUUCGUUCACCGAUUGGCCCCCUUGCUCCUCCUCGAAGCACAUGGUUCCCGUGGCUCUGCACCCCUAUCGGACAAGAGGGACGAGAAGCUCGAUUCGUUGGUCGAACGUGUCCCGAGAUUGCGUUUACCGGGGCUUUCCACAGGAUCUCUUUUGCUUAACUAGAAAUUAUUUCCGGGGGUGCGAGGCUAUUGGCGUUCCUUUCUGUCGUGCUGAUUCGGCAGCGUUACACUUUUUUAGUCGUGAGAGUCGAUAUUAAUAGAUUCAUUGCUAGUAAUGCACGCGUUGUCGAUUCCAUUAUUUAAUUUAUCUAAUUUGACGUAAGGAAGCAAACAAAGUGAACAGUGGCACAAAUAUUAUUGCUUGAAAUAAAGACAUUAUUGAUGAAGACAGAAUGCAAUUUCAAAGGUGGGUAGAUGCAAGUAACGCGUGCGUAUAAAUAUAAAAGUGUGGGUAUACAACCUUGGAAUUGUAACAUCAAGCCGACCAAAACAGAUUCAGCUAGAAUGCUUUACUAUCUGCGUUCGAAACGUCAUGAUCAAUUUGAGAAUCAUUGUAAUUGUACUAUGUGUGUGCAUUGUCUUUAACGAUCGGCAAUUUUUCUAAAGAGAAAUGAACAUUUGAAUGAAAAUAAAGAUUUAGGGGUGGUUUAGCACGGUUCCACCAACGAACGUCAAACGUUCGAAUUCUAAAGAAGUCGUAAGUAAGGCCAAGAAGUUAAGGGGUUGAAAUUUCACCUGGAAAGAGUGUCGAGAGAUAUUCGUUAAUAGCCGGAGGAUAAUGCGGCUGCAGCUCUGGAACGCGAUCUGAUUUAGCAAUCUCUCCACCACGCCCUGUGUCUAAUCGCCAGAGUGCGGGUCGGCUCUGUUCAUUAAUAAACCUAAAACUGGCCCACACACGAGACCAGGCCGCGCCACGUCAACUUCGAAAGGUUGCUCGCGUACGAAACAGAGAUCGAGGGCGAAGCAACCGAUGGAGAGAAAAGAAUUAGAGAGGAAAAGGGUAGAGAUCAGAAAGUCCGUCGACGAUCCACGUCGUCCAUAGAAAUCGUCGAAUCAUCGACAGUCAAUAAAUACCGAUCGAUCUUACGCCGGCAUCUAUUAAUGACCUAAACGUCGGCUAACCAAAUUAACCGUGACUAAAGCGCGUUUAAUUCGGCGUUCCACCAUUGCCCUAGCAUUGUUUCUGAUGACAAAGUCCCCGAUGAUCCCAUUCGUAAUCAUCUAAUUCCGGUGUUCUCGAAUUAACAUCCGUGAACGGGCCCAUUGUGUCGGCAGAAUCCUUGUAUCGUCCAGGUCUAGUUCGAUUUUUUAAACGCGUGUAAAGAUGUUCCAAACGGUCCUCUGAGUUAUUGCUUAACAUGAUCUCCACUAAUCUCGCACGGGUUACACGAAGACUGACAUACACUGGCGAGUCAAUGUUUCCCUGCUUCUUGAACAUGAUUUAAUCCUUUCCCGAGCGAAUCGAGUAAAAGCAAAACGGGUACAGAAAGCCGCUGAAUUUACAUCGUUUCGAGGCAACGUGUGUCUCGGCUUCAAGGUAUUCGAUGAGGCAUCGCCUCUGGAAACCCGCGACUCUCUCGGUUACCUGAUAACUCGAUGGUACGCACACCUUCUCGUUGCUCUCGUUAGGCGCUUCCAUGUGCCGUGUUCGUCUCGCGCCUUUAUACUCCCUCAAAGUAUCCAUCGCGUUUCCCCGCUUAAUCCUUGGCCGCGCGUAAAUCACCAACUUCCUUCUUGACGCCUGCAAGGGUACUUGUAACGCCGCUUUUGCCCACCGAGGGGAGAAUCGAAACUUUUCCGAAGAGAUCCGACUUUAAGAGGCUUUCUGUCGCGUAUUGCUCGUUUAUUUCAUCUUCUGAAUCGCCAGGACAUGGCGAUAUUUUCUUCUUUGAUCGAAAUCAAACGAAUACAUGUCAAAUUUAUUUUUUCUAUCCUUUCUCUUUCUUUUUUUUUUUUUUUUUUUUUUUUGAAGAUAAAAAUAAACGAUGAAAUUUUACAGUUCCGAUUUUUACUUUCGAAAAAACACAGCUUAGAAUUACGUCGAUCAUAACGACACAAGGAACAGGCUAAAGCGAGGGCUGUCGAGGGUUAAGAACGACAGAAGUGGACCUAAGUAGCCGUGUACACGAACAGCGGCACUCGAAAUACAAUUCGUUCCGGUUCUCAAAACCUGAAAUGCUAAUCUGCCGGCGUUUUCUUUUCACCGAUUACUCCGUCUCGUUCUCACUUAGUUUCACCAAAUAUUCACAUCUCACUCUGUUAGCCUCCUCCUAUAUCCUACCAAAAAGCGAAAGCUUCUCGAUCGGCGUGCAAGCUUUCCGGCGGCACGAAUCGGAAAGUUCCUUUCGUGAAAAAUCUUUACAAUAGGCCCUCUAACAAGCGGUCUCACUGUCUCCUUCCGUUUCUCUUCCACUGUUCAGUUUCCUUAUUCAUCGUUGCCUCUUCUGCCGUUUAGCACCGGUGCACAAAGAUACAACAAAGCGGUCCAAGCUUCACGCAGCCCUCUUUCGUUUCCAUUUAAGGGUAGAAAAAGAGAGAGAAGGAUAUCUCGGGCAAAUCUGUUUGCUGUUUUCUACGUGGCCCGUGCAAAAGUUGACGAGACUUUCAGUGGCUGUUGAAUGGGGGAUAAGGGCGCGCACCUACUUUUGCUUCUCAAUGCCGAUCGUCGAGGACCCUCGAGCGUGUGUGCCGCCACCACCGCUCUGUUUAUGUACCUGUGUGUCGAGGGGCACACGCUCCAAUAUUGUCGGUUCGAGCCGCUUCGGAGUCCGUUUACCAUAGGAUCUACGCUCGGAUGAGUCCCUACGAUAUUGGGAUCGCACGUUUUGCAUCGAGAUACACGAAUAAUGUCUCCGAAAUUGGAAGAUUCUACUGGAAGGCGAUGAAAAAUAGCUGUAGCUCUUGCACAAACGUUCCAGACUAUCGUGUUACAUUGGACGUAAAUUCGCUCGAAUCGGCCUUGUAACGAAUAAUACAACUCAGGACUGCGAUGCGUAUAUUCGUGAGAAUCUACAUACACGCGUAUCUAAUUGCUUCGACGUUUUGAGUUCGCAUCCACUGUAAUCGCAGCCUAAGAAGAUUCUCAGAGUCCGUUGGCGAGAGAAGAACAAGAGAAUUCACGCUGCUCCUCCCUGCCAGAGAGGAUAUUCAAUUAUGGUAGAUCGGUGCAAAGAUACGCGGCGCCGUGACAACUAUAUACGCGCGGGUCAGUGUCCAAAAAAAUGCCACCUUCCACGAAUAAAUAACUCGCGUUUUGCAUACGGGGAGGCCUGUGCUGGCCAGGGCCGUACGGUAGCGAUCACAGGGAAGAGUUAGCUCGGAAUCCUCUUAACCUGCUCACACGGAACCGUUGUCUUCUAACUCUCACUGGGUCAACAUUCAGCCUAACAUUUUCCCCUUCCACGAAAUUCCGAUCGAAGUAUCAAUUUCCGUGUAAUCAAAGCGGACUCUCAGGGGCCCAAGAUGAAACCGAAAUCCGUGAGGAUUUUCUGUUUUCACGAGGAUAAACCCGGAGGAACCUCGUAUACCGACCCUGCGGUAACUCUAGAUGGGCAGCGGCAUACCGUGGCCAUGGCGCCCCUAUCUUUUAUGCCGGCAGUUUCUGAAAAUCUCUCAGUUUGAUCUGACUUCCAAGCCUAGAGGAGAAACGAGAGAGGACCACGAAGAAGGAAACCGCGGAGCAACGAAGGAAGAGAAGAGAGAGGAGAAGAGUGGAAAGGGAAGAUUAGUUGCCAGCGACAGCAGCAACCGCCAGCAGCAACACGUGUGUUCUACGGUCCGAGUUUACAUAAACACGUAUAAACGUCGUGUAAACCGGCGCGAGAGAAAGUCCGUCGAGUGGACGCGCGCGUGUACGUGCGAGUUCUGGGCGAGCGUGUGCGAGUGCAACAGUAGCAUCCCGACUCAGAUAACGGGCAAGGAUAUACGACUCUAAACUGCACCUACGUGCAGGACACCAGGCUACCGAAUUUUCGAGAAAUCAAGAUCCCCUCGCGAUUUUUUCAGAAUGAGACACACUCUGGUCCUGAGGAACUGGAUCUGGCGAGAAACAGACUGCUUCUCCAGGGAAAAAUUUCAUCUUUGAAGAUACUGUGGUUGUGGUAGGUAAUAGAAAUGCGUCGAAUAUGGAUUAUUCUCUUGUUAUACUUGAUUUUAUCGGGAAACGAUGAAGCUUUAUACGCGGAUGAAUCAUUCGAUAACGAAUUCGAAUAAAUUUGACAUGGAAAAAUAACAUGUAAGUUUUGUCCUGUUUCUAUUGUAAAAAUAUUGAAUCUGUAUCGAGCUCGAUGUAUCGAACUAUGAUGAUGGAAACAAAAUGGGAAGCUUCUCGCGCACGAGAAUUCCUGGAUGCAUCCACGUGAACCUGCCUGGAAAAGGGCGAAGAAUCAAGGAUACUCUAGAGGUUUGGGGAACGUUUCCGCCGCUGCGAAUCGGCAAGCGAGGAAGAAAACUGGAGGGAAAAGUCGAGGGGCCAGGGAAAAGCACGAGACGAGUUCGGAAAAAAAGAACCGCAAAUCCGUGGGUAAACGUAACUACCGGUUGAUGCGCCGAUCAUUCCACCAUGUUGCCUCUGAAAGGGCGAGCGCCAUCGACAGAUGUUUCACCACGAAGAGAACAAAGAAGUCUACACUGUGAACGAAGUUCAUCGAACACGUCGAUAACGUCUUGAAAGGUGCACGAAGCACGUUCGUUAAACGUCCACGAAGAUAUCGAAAUGCCAGUAGAAGGUUACGACACGCGACGCGUUCUACGGACUGACAGUAGAAACGCGAAAGAAGACCAGGGAGAAGUUCAGGCGAACACGCACGAGUGCAACCGUGCACGAGGCCAGGGCAUCGUGAAACGUAAACGGGAAUCAUGAUGCAAUGAAUCGCGCGUACUAGACACUUCCAUUUUCGGCCCCGCAAUGAUUAUCCGAUCACGAUCUCGAUUCUAAUUCCAACCCGAGAGAGAAACGGCAGCUGGGUGUCCGAGAGUUUCGUGCGGCUUUCAUUAAAUCGCGACGUUCACGUUUCGAUCCUGCUUUUAUCCCGCCACGGAAAGCUCAUCGAUCAUAACCGCGCG